rnacentral:rRNA from 1 species
GCUUACGGCCACACCGGCCUGGUUCACGCCCGAUCUCGUUUGAUCUCGGGGAAGCUAAGAUAGGUUGGGCCCUGGUUAGUACCCCGAUGGGAGACCGCCUGGGAUCACCAGGUGCUGUAAACU